AGUAAAUGUAUCUUAAACCUCUGUCACAAAUAUUUAAGAACUCAUGGAGAGCAGGAGUAUCCCUGAGGAUUGGAAGUAGGCAGAUUUCAUCCCAGCUUUCAAAAGUGGCAAAAAGUGGACUCCAAGCAAUGUUAUAGAGCAAAUUACUAAAUGGCUUGUUUAUGUGCAGUUAACACAGAAAAUAUUGCUCCAAAGAGACUUAAAACUUCCCUAAAUGGCAUUAAAUUAACUUUUUCUUUUUUGAUACUGAGGAUUGAACCCAGGGAUGCUCUACCCCUGAGCUAUAUCUCUAGCCCUUUAUUUAUUUAUUUUUUUAAAUUUUGAAACAGUGUCUCACUAAGUUGUCAAAACUGGACUUGAACUUGUGACCCUCCUGUCUCAGUUCCCUACUCCCCCAAUUAGAUGGGAUUACAGAUGUGCACCUUCUAACUCAGCCUAACAUCAUCUUUCAACAUCUGGAUAAACUAGUAGGUCACAGGGACUAUCCUAAAUAAGUCUUGAUUUUACCAAGGUAUUGAUAUAGACUCACCUAACUUGCAAACGAGAUCCUAAUAUUUGUAAGUUCACUGAUUCUUAGCUAAGAGUCUAUUGUUUGAGUGUUUGGUGUUGAAUGUAAACAGGUAAGUAGGUGAAUUCAGUCACCAUGGCCUGUCCUGUAAUCUGGU
rnacentral:lncRNA from 1 species